rnacentral:lncRNA from 1 species
UUACAAAUAAUGGGAAUGGAAUACACAGUAGGAUCAGCAUCCAUAUUCGUAUUUAUUCAAUCGUUAGGGAGAAAAAUAGAUUUUAUUACUUUUUCAAAAUUCACAAGGUGACAACUUUACUUUCACAAUCAAUAAUUACCCCAUAUUUUUUUAACAAAUCCAUUCCUAGAAUAACAUCAAACUUUGAGAAAUCUAAGAGUAUUAGGUUUACAAAUACUUAUAUUUCUAAAGUUUUUAUCUUAGAAUUUUUAUGCACAUAGUGAGUUUUUAAUAAUCCCUUAACGAGAGUCUCUAUAACUAAUAUUUCUUUUAAACGUUCAGGC